rnacentral:rRNA from 1 species
CCUACGGGGGGCAGCAGUGAGGAAUAUUGGUCAAUGGGCGAGAGCCUGAACCAGCCAAGUCGCGUGAAGGAUGACGGCCCUACGGGUUGUAAACUUCUUUUGUCAGGGAGCAAUUGGGUCCACGCGUGGGCUUAGCGAGAGUACCUGAAGAAAAAGCAUCGGCUAACUCCGUGCCAGCAGCCGCGGUAAUACGGAGGAUGCGAGCGUUAUCCGGAUUUAUUGGGUUUAAAGGGUGCGUAGGCGGAUCGUUAAGUCAGUGGUCAAAUUGAGGGGCUCAACCCCUUCCCGCCAUUGAAACUGGCGCUCUUGAGUGGAAGAGAAGUAUGCGGAAUGCGUGGUGUAGCGGUGAAAUGCAUAGAUAUCACGCAGAACCCCGAUUGCGAAGGCAGCAUGCCGGCUUCCGACUGACGCUGAAGCACGAAAGCGUGGGGAUCGAACAGGAUUAGAUACCCGGGUAGUC